GAGCGAGACGUAGCGCCGUUAAAUACGAGUAUAAAUAAAUCGUGUGAUGAUGUUUCGCACGCUCGUAUCUCUCUUGGAUAUCGAAAACACGGUGACAACGUCGCCGGCAGAUAGCGUUCUUGCGUGUAUUCGCUACGCCGCCGUAAGUUCGCCGUAAGAGACGGCCAAGGCGGAGACAACGUCGCGCGCGCAUCACGGCCCCGAAAUAACAAUAAUUUACCGUCGCCAAUGCGUAUGCAUUUUAAUAAUCAAUAUAAUAUACCUAUCUAUAACACCAUUAGCUGUUAGUAUUAUCUCCG